CGGGAGGCAGCAGUAGGGAAUCUUCCGCAAUGGACGAAAGUCUGACGGAGCAACGCCGCGUGAGUGAUGAAGGCCUUCGGGUCGUAAAGCUCUGUUGUUAGGGAAGAACAAGUACCGUUCAAAUAGGGCGGUACCAUGACGGUACCUAACCAGAAAGCCACGGCUAACUACGUGCCAGCAGCCGCGGUAAUACGUAGGUGGCAAGCGUUGUCCGGAAUUAUUGGGCGUAAAGGGCUCGCAGGCGGUUCCUUAAGUCUGAUGUGAAAGCCCACGGCUCAACCGUGGAGGGUCAUUGGAAACUGGGGAACUUGAGUACAGAAGAGGAGAGUGGAAUUCCACGUGUAGCGGUGAAAUGCGUAGAGAUGUGGAGGAACACCAGUGGCGAAGGCGACUCUCUGGUCUGUAACUGACGCUGAGGAGCGAAAGCGUGGGGAGCGAACAGGAUUAGAUACCCUGGUAGUCCACGCCGUAAACGAUGAGUGCUAAGUGUUAGAGGGUUUCCGCCCUUUAGUGCUGCAGCAAACGCAUUAAGCACUCCGCCUGGGGAGUACGGUCGCAAGACUGAAACUCAAAGGAAUUGACGGGGGCCCGCACAAGCGGUGGAGCAUGUGGUUUAAUUCGAAGCAACGCGAAGAACCUUACCAGGUCUUGACAUCCCAUGACAACUCUAGAGAUAGAGCGUUCCCCUUCGGGGGACAUGGUGACAGGUGGUGCAUGGUUGUCGUCAGCUCGUGUCGUGAGAUGUUGGGUUAAGUCCCGCAACGAGCGCAACCCUUGAUCUUAGUUGCCAGCAUUUAGUUGGGCACUCUAAGGUGACUGCCGGUGACAAACCGGAGGAAGGUGGGGAUGACGUCAAAUCAUCAUGCCCCUUAUGACCUGGGCUACACACGUGCUACAAUGGAUGGUACAAAGGGCUGCGAGACUGCGAAGUUAAGCGAAUCCCAUAAAACCAUUCUCAGUUCGGAUUGCAGGCUGCAACUCGCCUGCAUGAAGCUGGAAUCGCUAGUAAUCGUGGAUCAGCAUGCCACGGUGAAUACGUUCCCGGGCCUUGUACACACCGCCCGUCACACCACGAGAGUUUGUAACACCCGAAGUCGGUGGAGUAACCGUAA
rnacentral:rRNA from 2 species